CAAAGAGCUCUUUCAGUGAACAUUUGGGUCAGAACUUUUAUUAUAUAAAUAGGCACCUGCUGCACAGAGCUGUGGCAGUGAGCAUGUAGGCAUAUGCUGCUAUUCCAGCAUAUCUUCUAGGGGAAUCUCUGAUCUGGCCCCAUACCUGGCUGCUUCUAGCAUGUGUCUUCAUGGAAGACGCUGGCACUGUUUUAAAUUUUACAUGCUUCUUUCUUCCUUCCUUCUAAACAAGUUUAGUCAACGUUUUCUUCCUAGAGCUGGAACAUCUAAUACAAAUUAUAAAGACAAAGAUCCUUCAAACCCCUUGGUGAAAAUUAUGGCAGCAUUCCAGGAUUUAACUCCCUGAAAUCCAGUCCAUGUGAAGAAUCUAGCAGAAAAAUCAGUUUGUCCAUGCCCCAUCACUAAGAGAGAUCUGCCUCAGGGACAUUUUUCAUCUUGGUCAUCUGGAAAGGCCUAUGGUGAUGUUUCUCUAUCCCAGAGUGACAGAAGUACAAACUGUACCAACUGUACUGGCAAGAAGGUGUCAUUUUUGUGUUUUUAGGAACACUCUGGACUUAAGCCUUUACAUCUGCUGAUCA